rnacentral:lncRNA from 1 species
GCUGCAUCCUGCUCUCGUCAUGGCUGCUUGGCUCCAUUUGUUUUGAGGUCCCCGUUAGCCACACAGAGUCCAUCUUGUUCUCAGGAGUAUUUUUGAUUUCAUUUUAUUUCACAUAGUUAAUAAUUCUUUACAUUAAACUUUCACAAUUCAAAUUGCUGUGUGGUUCCUAUCUCCUGAUUGGGCCCUGACUGGUACAGGGACUAAGACAUAAGGUUCAGUCCCUCUCUGGUGACUACACUGCGGUGAACUUGGGAGUACCAGGCGGCCAUCUUUUCUGCUGUGUGGACUGGAAAUAUAGAAGAAGCUGGUCUACAGAGCAGAGAGGAGAACAAAAUAGGGGCACAGGGAGAAGGAACAAGUGAUGGAGGCUGCCAGUCUGUUCCUGAAGUCCACUGCACCUGGGAGACGCCCCAGCCUCCUAAUAAUUCUACUUUCCUCCUCUUUUAUUUUUCUUUUUCUGUUUAAGCUAGCUCUAGUGUGUUUCUGUAACUUACAACCAAAAGAGACUUUAAUACAAUCUCUGGGAGAGGCUGUGCUGCCUCUCAUUAGAAUCUCUUAAUAUACAUUAGUUUCAUCAGAACAUUUAGAGUUUGAAAGACGUCCUCUUUUGCUAUUUAUAAAGCACAAAUCGUGGGCUGGUUAUCCUCCAUUUGCCACUGCAGAUCCGCCUUCCUCCAUUCUCCACCCUGCUCCACGCACCGGGAGGCUGACCUCUGCAGAGUCCUUGUUGCUCCACCUUCCAGCUCAGCUCCGGUAACGGGACACUGGAAGGAGAGGAGAGAGCAGGAGGAGAGAGAUGUGAGCACAAUUAUUCCCCCGCUCCCUCUCAGCCAGACCUCAGGUGGGCAGUGGCCGCCUCCUCCACCUACAGUCCUGUCAGACAGUCUCUCUCCCACAGCCACAGCUUUGUUUGUUGCUCCUUCAGGACGAGGGAAGUUACUGCCCUCCCACAUCGCUACUCCCUGAGUGCUCCGCCAUUGCUCAUCUGUUACCUCAUCCCGGCCAGCACCUUUGUAAAUAAUCCUUCAUUAAACCCUUCAGUCACCAUGUUCGGCAAACCGUCUGUUUUCCGCGGAGCCCUGGCCAGUACAGCAGCCAUGGGAAGGAGGGGAGCAGGGGUCAGCGUUUGUUACAGAGGGGAUACAAGGAGAAAGACGGGGGCUUCUGACACGCAAAAUGGGAUCGUGGAGAAGGAUAAACGCCUUAAAGGCAGCCUCCUUAAAUUGCCUCUUCAGGUUAUUCUUC